ACGUACGGCCAGAGGUCGCAGAGAACAGAGGAUCCCGUCCGCUCUCCUGUACUUAAGCUGUGAACCGGUGGAUUAGUACUACGGUGGGUGACCACGUGGGAAUCCCCACUGCUGUACGUU
rfam:Acidomyces richmondensis BFW scaffold_27, whole genome shotgun sequence.